rnacentral:snRNA from 1 species
CAGCCAUGUGUUCAGCCCAGAGCGAACUAUUCUUUCGCCUUUUACUAGAAAAUACCGUGUGCGUGACACAUUAGCGGCUUAUUCACAUUUUAGGAACGCUCCUUGACAGGAGCAC